rnacentral:rRNA from 1 species
CCUACGGGCGGCAGCAGUGGGGAAUAUUGCACAAUGGGCGCAAGCCUGAUGCAGCCAUGCCGCGUGUGUGAAGAAGGCCUUCGGGUUGUAAAGCACUUUCAGCGGGGAGGAAGGCGUUAAGGUUAAUAACCUUGGCGAUUGACGUUACCCGCAGAAGAAGCACCGGCUAACUCCGUGCCAGCAGCCGCGGUAAUACGGAGGGUGCAAGCGUUAAUCGGAAUUACUGGGCGUAAAGCGCACGCAGGCGGUCUGUCAAGUCGGAUGUGAAAUCCCCGGGCUCAACCUGGGAACUGCAUUCGAAACUGGCAGGCUAGAGUCUUGUAGAGGGGGGUAGAAUUCCAGGUGUAGCGGUGAAAUGCGUAGAGAUCUGGAGGAAUACCGGUGGCGAAGGCGGCCCCCUGGACAAAGACUGACGCUCAGGUGCGAAAGCGUGGGGAGCUAACAGGAUUAGAUACCCUAGUAGUC